UGGGGAAUAUUGCACAAUGGGCGCAAGCCUGAUGCAGCCAUGCCGCGUGUAUGAAGAAGGCCUUCGGGUUGUAAAGUACUUUCAGCGGGGAGGAAGGGAGUAAAGUUAAUACCUUUGCUCAUUGACGUUACCCGCAGAAGAAGCACCGGCUAACUCCGUGCCAGCAGCCGCGGUAAUACGGAGGGUGCAAGCGUUAAUCGGAAUUACUGGGCGUAAAGCGCACGCAGGCGGUUUGUUAAGUCAGAUGUGAAAUCCCCGGGCUCAACCUGGAAACGGCAUCUGAUACUGGCAAGCUUGGGUCUCGUAGAGGGGGGUAGAAUUCCAGGUGUAGCGGUGAAAUGCGUAGGGAUCUGGAGGAAUACCGGUGGCAAGGCGGCCCCCUGGACGAAGACUGACGCUCAGGUGCGAAAGCGUGGGGAGCAAACAGG
rnacentral:rRNA from 1 species